rnacentral:lncRNA from 1 species
UUUGAUAAUGCGUAGCAAAUGGAUCUUGCUUUAGUGUUCAAACCUACAAUUGGAUUAGGUUGGAUCCGAAUUCCGGUUAGAAAACCUCAAGUUUCGCUGUCUCUUUGUUAUCACAAGUCAAACUUGCAUAUUAGUCUGUUGGUCAGCUGUCAUGCGAAGAAAAAUCCUUGAUCUGAUUGUUGGUUCGUGAGGCUUUUCAGGUACUGCUGAGUCUUGAUAGUUGCCCAAAUUUAAGGCAAAGUGAUUUGGGAUGCAGCUGGAUGUGCAGCCUGACCAAAUCGUGGCUAAAUGGAGUGUUUCUGGAGUAUCAUCUACGGUGGAUCUCUUCGAGUCUGACAUGGUUUAGGUGUGAAAUACUGGUACAGAAGAUGAAAGUGACCACUAUAUGUAGGUCCGAAUUCUGGUGCCUGGUGAUGCUUACAGGUUUGUCCGUAUGGACAUCAUGAAAUUGACCGAACAGCAUGUGCAGGUAGACAAAGUCCGUAGUUCCAGAAUUUUAAGAAAGACACUGGAUACACAUUAUUAC